GAUGAAGAACGUAGCGAAAUGCGAUACUUGGUGUGAAUUGCAGAAUCCCGUGAACCAUCGAGUCUUUGAACGCAAGUUGCGCCCGAAGCCAUUAGGCCGAGGGCACGCCUGCCUGGGUGUCACACGUCGUUGCCCCCCCAUCUACUCCUUCGGGAUUGCGGGGGGCGGAUGAUGGCCUCCCGUGCGCCUCGUCGCGCGGUUGGCAUAAAUGCCAAGUCCUCGGCGACGCACGCCACGACAAUCGGUGGUUGCGAAACCUCGGUUGCCCGUCGUGUGCGGUCGUCGCGCAUCGAGGGCUCGAAAAAAUUGCCGGGCUCCGGCUCGGCUUUCAACGCGACCCCAGGUCAGGCAGGGUUACCCGCUGAAUUUAAGCAUAUCAAUAAGCGGAGGA
rnacentral:misc_RNA from 1 species